rnacentral:rRNA from 1 species
GACGAACGCUGGCGGCGUGCCUAAUACAUGCAAGUUGAGCGCUGAAGGUUGGUACUUGUACCAACUGGAUGAGCAGCGAACGGGUGAGUAACGCGUGGGGAAUCUGCCUUUGAGCGGGGGACAACAUUUGGAAACGAAUGCUAAUACCGCAUAAAAACUUUAAACACAAGUUUUAAGUUUGAAAGAUGCAAUUACAUCACUCAAAGAUGAUCCCGCGUUGUAUUAGCUAGUUGGUGAGGUAAAGGCUCACCAAGGCGAUGAUACAUAGCCGACCUGAGAGGGUGAUCGGCCACAUUGGGACUGAGUCACGGCCCAAACUCCUACGGGAGGCAGCAGUAGGGAAUCUUCGGCAAUGGACGAAAGUCUGACCGAGCAACGCCGCGUGAGUGAAGAAGGUUUUCGGAUCGUAAAACUCUGUUGGUAGAGAAGAACGUUGGUGAGAGUGGAAAGCUCAUCAAGUGACGGUAACUACCCAGAAGGGGACGGCUAACUACGUG